rnacentral:ncRNA from 1 species
GUUAAGUAUGCCGCCUGGGAAGUACGAGCGCAAGCUUAAAACUCAAAGGAAUAGACGGGGAUCCGCACAAGUGGUGGAGCAUGUGGUUUAAUUCGACGACAAGCGAGGAACCUCACCAGGGCUUGAAACUAUACUGCAUUAUGUACGUCGUCAGCUCGUGUCGUAAGAUGUUCUGUUAAGUCAGGAAACGAGCGCAACCCCUAUCGUGUGUUAUUAUGUCACACGAGACUGCCCAGAACUUUGCGCGAUAGCGCAAAGUAAUGACCAAUAAUCAAGGCACAAUAACCAAAAUUUGGGAUUUGUAUCUUGGAAUUUGGAAUUUACUUUGUUCGCUAGCGAACAAAGUUCUGGGAGGAAGGCGGGGAUGACGUCAGAUCAGCGUGGCCCUUUGACGCCCUGGGCUACACACGUGCUACAAUGGCCAUUACAAAGGGUUGCUAAGCCGUAAGGCGGAGCUAAUCCCAUAAAGAUGGUCUCAGUUCGGAUUGAGGUCUGCAACUCGACCUCAUGAAGCCGGAAUCACUAGUAAUCGUGAAUCAGCCAUAUCACGGUGAAUACGUUCUCGGAUCUUGUACUCACAAUAAAAGCGCUAGGCAGUUUAAUAAUCUAGAGAGUUUAAAUCUCUCCCUCC